UACGAAGGGGGCUAGCGUUGCUCGGAAUCACUGGGCGUAAAGCGCACGUAGGCGGAUUGUUAAGUCAGGGGUGAAAUCCUGGAGCUCAACUCCGGAACUGCCUUUGAUACUGGAGAUCUUGAGUCCGGGAGAGGUGAGUGGAACUCCGAGUGUAGAGGUGAAAUUCGUAGAUAUUCGGAAGAACACCAGUGGCGAAGGCGGCUCUCUGGGACGUGACUGACGCUGAGACGCGAAAGCGUGGGGAGCAAACAGG
rnacentral:rRNA from 1 species